UUUUUUGGAGAGUUUGAUUCUGGCUCAGAACGAACGUUGGCGGCGUGGUUAAGGCAUGCAAGUCGAACGAUCUUAUUAAAUCUUGAGGCCGUAAGGCCGAGGGAUUUGAUUUGAUAGCGGCAAAAGGGUGAGGAAUACGUGGGUAAUCUACCUUCGGGUCCGGGAUAGCAUUCCGAAAGGAAUGAUAAUACCGGAUAAGACCACGGCUCCGCAUGGAGCUGCGGUAAAAGAUGGGGACCGUAAGGCCUAUCGU
rnacentral:rRNA from 1 species